GAAGUGUUGAUACUAUGGCUGAAUUGGUCUAUAACUUUUGUUUUGUUUUUUUUAUAAGCUAUAACUUUUGUUUUGUAAGCUGGUAACGUGAUCUCACUAUCUCAGAUUGUCUGCUUCUCACAAAAAAUUACAGUUUGUUGGAGAGUAAGCUCGGGUGGCAGCACCAGGUGGGACCAUAAUAAUUGUAACAUGGUGCCACAGGGAUCUUAGCCCAGCUGAAGAAUCCCUGUAGCCAUGGGAGCAGAAUCUCUUGAAGAGGAUAUGUGAUACAUUUUACCUUCCAGCAUGGUGCUCAACUGCUGAUUAUGUCAAAUUGCUGGAAUCCCAUUAACUUCUGGACAUAAAAUCAGCAGAUUGGUCUCCCUUUGUUGCUCCAUUUUGGCCUGCAGUGAUACACUCGGCACUUACAUGGAAGGGGGUCUCAUUUCACUCUUGCGCAGUGUUUACUGGGCAGGAAUGAAAACCAUAAAAGGAGCUUUGGCCAUGCCAUUAAUGAUAGAAGGAUUCAAGAAGGGUGUCAUCAAGUUUUCCGUUGUUACAUGUAGCCAAUUAGCUUUGCAAUCCUGUACAUAAGCAUAAGGAGCUACUUGCUCUAAUCUGUUGGGAGUACUAGCCGGGAGCAAAAUGACAUCUCUUUCUCAAAGUACAUCCAUAUUUCUUGACCACUACUGCUAUUUUCCUAUCCUUAUUUUUUUAGUAUAAUCUAAGGAAGCUAAAAUCUUUAUGUAGUGUAUAGUUUAUGACUUUAUGCACUCUAUGUUAUGUUUCGUAAAAAUAACAAUUAAUACGAAUAUGAUAUGUAAAUAUUUUAUUGAUUACUAAAUUUAACUUUAAAUAAUAUUCCAACAAUUUAUAUAUUUAGUUUGUUAAUUUUAUUGAUUCACUUUGUUAAAUUGUCGAAUGAUUUUCCCUUGUGAUACGGAUACAGGACCUCACUUUGGGGAACUAAUGGAUAUUAUUUUAAGGAUUUAAUGAAUAUUCAUGUAAGUAAAUAUAGAAUUAUUCCUUAUUUUAAAAACAAUAUCCUCUUUUGUGAGGAUUCACAUGGCAAUUAAUACAAACCGUAUUCCUGUAAAUAAAUAUAAAAAAAUUCAUUUUAUUAUCUGUUUCCUCUUUUAUCAUGAAAAGGAACUACUGAUCUAAUUGAUGAAUCAGAUUGAUCCAAAAAACUGUUAGCCGUUACUCGAUGAAUAUUUUUUUGGUACAUAUUCUAAUUCUAAUUAAUGGAGAUAGAAGAAAUGAGAGUUGUUAACAAAAGUGAUAGAUGGGUAAAUUUAAAAAUUUCAUGGUAAAUAGUUUGAAUUUGAGGAAUUCUUAAAUUUUUUUAAAUUUACAUAAAGAAUCAUAUUAAAAAAAGUAAUGUAACCAGAAAAAAGGUAACCAAAUAUUAAAAAAAGUAAAAUAUGUAUUAAUGAUUUAAUUUGUCCCUUACUGUCAAAAUAACAAUAAUUUAAUUUGUCCCGGUAAUAAAAAAUGUAUUUUUUCUAAAAUACAAAACGUCCACCAUCUAACAAAAAUAGUUAGUUUUGUUACAUGGUUAAUCUAUGGAUUAAUUUGGGGGAAAAUGGAUACAUGUACCAUUCUACCCAGAAAAAUUUCUAAAAUAACAAGUUUAAAUUUGAAUUUAUUUGAGUCAUUUACUUGAUGUUAAUUGGUUUUAUCAGUUGGUAUUAGUUUUUAUUACCUAUUAUGUGGGAUUAGAUAAUAAAUAUAAUGAAUUUGAUUUGUAUGAUAGUGUAAAGAAUUUUAUACAGACAUCGAAUAAUAUCUUUCAAGUUUUGAUUUAAAUAUUUUUAAAUUCAUAUUAAAUUAUGAUUUCCUAAUUUUUUUUUCUUUCCGCUUGAGUACUAAUUCAAUUAACCAACAUUUAAGCAACAUAUAUUAUAUACCUUAUAUGUUCAGGAUUGCGCCGGAGGUCACACUCACAAACUCCAUACUAACUGUUAAGGGUGAACCAAACUUAAUAUUGCACGAAUAUCUAAUGUCUAUAUGUAAUAUGAAACAAUGUCUAUAUGUAAUAUGAAACAUUAACAACAUAUAAGUGUUUCACUAAUUAAAAUUGUAUGUUUCAGUAAAUAUAUCAUUGUAUUAUUUCAUAUUUUUGGUCUCUAGCAUGAGAAGAAUGUUCUCAUGGUUUAUCUCUCUAUUAAUAUACCACUUGGCAUGAAUUUCUGUUUAAAUUUUACCUGCAAUAUUGCACCUGAGAUCACACCUACAAAAUCACCUAUAUAUACAAUACUUAUCUACAUUAUUGCAGUAUUCCAUAUAUAUCAAUAUCUAUCUAAACUCAAUUAUAAUAAUUAGUAGUUAAUUCAAAUGAAAAUUCCCCGUGCAUCGCACGGGUAAACGGGCUAAAUACUAGUAUACACACAAUCGUG